UUUGGUAGCUCUAACAAGCUGUGGCUGUGAGCUCAUCCUAUUUCACAAGCUAAACAGGGUUGGGCCUGGUCAGCAUGUGGAUGGGUGACCUUGAAGGGAAAUGCAGAUGCUGCUAGAA
rnacentral:rRNA from 1 species